rnacentral:sRNA from 15 species
AUGGUCCAAAAGCAGUCUUUGAUAUUUCCACAGCUAUU